rnacentral:lncRNA from 1 species
GAGACAGGAACUUACAGAGUCCUUCGCUUUAGCACUUACUAAAGCAAUUAUACUGAUUUUUUUAAAUUAUGUUUUCAGCCUCUCUGGUUUAAACAAUCUGGGUCAAACACUUCCAGACUGUUCAGGCUGGCUCAGAUCUGGGCCCUUCAACUGUCCCGGAAAUACCCUCUUCAUCCCUUGCUGUGGCUACAGUGGGCUUUGGCAGGCUCCCCCUCGGCCAGGUGUUUUCCCCCAACAGUUGCCAUGGCAGCAAUGUUCAACAGAGGUUCUGAGGGGCUUGGAAUUGACAAGCCAGAGGUGGGGCCUGAGUUGCUGUCUCCAGUCCACGAUUUGCUGAUCCAUCUGUCUUCCUCAGAGAGGGAGCACAUAGUACAGGACUGUGCUUCCUUGGAAGAUGACAGGCACCAGGCCAGACUAACAGACCCAAUCCUGAAAGGAGAAGCAGCAACAUUGGAGCCGUCUCUCGCCUCCCACCCCAAGUUCAUCUAGCAGCCCUGCCCCACCCCCUCGAGCAGGCAGAUUUUCUCCCCGACACUUCUCUAUGCAUAGGUAUGUAUAACACAUUGGAAAAUUGGAUCACACUCUACCUAGAGGUCCGAGGCUUAUCUUCUCCCUUUAAACAUACGGGGCGCCUUUCACUGUCAAUUCACAGAGGUCUGCUGUAAUCUGUUGAAAAUAGUUUCACUGUAUUUCGUCAUAGGACAUAGCAGACAUACCACAAUACACCAAGCCAGUCUCCCACUCAUGAGCAGUAUAGCUGUCUCCAGCUUUUGGCUGUUGCCGGUGCUGCAGUGCACAUUUCUGCACACCCGAGCAGUCUUGUUUUGAACCCACCAACCACUGUGCUUCCUCACCAUGGCUUUUACUUAGGAAAGUACUAAACGGGAGUGCAUUUCUCCUGGGCUGGGGGACUCAGCUCUCCACGCCCAGUUUCAAGCUGCCCUGCAAGCCGGCGCCCCACGGGUUCUGAGCCAACGUCAGUGAGAAUGACCAUGCGUGAGAAUCCGGACCCCACAGAGUCACCAGCCUGGCCGGCCUCUCACCUCCUGUUCCGGGGAACGGAGGCACCUCUGCAUCAUUUUCUGUAAUGCCAAAGGAAAUCCCCAGAUAAGACGGACACCCUCAUGCUUCACAGGAGACACUCCCCCACUCCCACGGAGAUAAACUCAUGAAUGCUUUCUUAAUCACAGCUCAUGAUUCUCUGGGGCCCUCCCGGGGCUGCCAAAACCUCUCUCAGCCCAUUGCUGCUGCUACCGCAGCCAGACACAGCACUUCCUAGAAAAUCAUCAUCCCGUUUACUGUUUAUUCUUG